rfam:Physcomitrella patens subsp. patens PHYPAscaffold_242 genomic scaffold, whole genome shotgun sequence.
GUCAACAUGGCCGAGUGGUGAUGGCGACGGAGAUCAGUUCCGUUGGGCAAAGUCCGUCGCAGGUUCGAACCCUGCUGUUGACU